GGCCUACCAUGGUGGUAACGGGUAACGGGGUGUUAGGGCACGACACCGGAGAGGGAGCCUGAGAAACGGCUACCACAUCCAAGGAUGGCAGCAGGCGCGCAAAUUACCCAAUCCCGACACGGGGAGGUAGUGACAAUAAAUAACAAUACGGGGUUCUUUAGGAUCUCGUAAUUGGAAUGAGUACAAUUUAAAUCUCUUAACGAGGAACAAUUGGAGGGCAAGUCUGGUGCCAGCAGCCGCGGUAAUUCCAGCUCCAAUAGCGUAUAUUAAAGUUGUUGCAGUUAAAAAGCUCGUAGUUGAAUUUCGGGGUUAGUAAGUUGGUCAUGCCUUUGGUAUGCACUGGCUUUACUGAUUCCUCCUUCUUGACGAACCAUGAUGUCAUUAAUUUGGUGUUGCGGGAAAUCAGGACUGUUACUUUGAAAAAAUUAGAGUGUUUAAAGCAGGCUAACGCUUGAAUACAUUAGCAUGGAAUAAUGAAAUAGGACGUUAAUCCUAUUUUGUUGGUUUCUAGGAUCGACGUAAUGAUUAAUAGGGAUAGUUGGGGGCAUUAGUAUUCAAUUGUCAGAGGUGAAAUUCUUGGAUUUAUUGAAGACUAACUACUGCGAAAGCAUUUGCCAAGGAUGUUUUCAUUAAUCAAGAACGAAAGUUAGGGGAUCGAAGACGAUCAGAUACCGUCGUAGUCUUAACCAUAAACUAUGCCGACUAGGGAUCGGAUGAUGUUAAUUCUUUAAUGACUCAUUCGGCGCCUUACG
rnacentral:rRNA from 1 species